rnacentral:tmRNA from 1 species
GGGGAUGUUUCUGGCAUUCGAUAAGUAAUGGCUUGGACUUAGCCACAGCCGGGUAAUUCCGUAAAAAAUUAUUAAAAGAAACGCUAAUUCUUAUAACUAUGGUUACAGCUAUGGUACAAACCGUGCUGUUGCCUUUGCUGCUUAAUCGAACUUAAAUUGUUCUGCAGUCGAUUCAAAUGAGUUUGCUGUCUUAUAGUUUGAAUUGUUAGCACAAAGAAGAUAAGGUAAGCCUUGGGCUGGAUCGCUUACACGAAAAUCUACAGCCAACCCUCUAAAUGUUUGUGUCUGUCCAACAUUAGAGUUUUUUAGACAGAAUAAGCUGUAAACGCUAAUUCGUGGAGUCUUACUUAGACGCGAGUUCGAUUCUCGCCAUCUCCACCA